AUGCAAGUCGAGCGAAUGGAUUGAGAGCUUGCUCUCAAGAAGUUAGCGGCGGACGGGUGAGUAACACGUGGGUAACCUGCCCAUAAGACUGGGAUAACUCCGGGAAACCGGGGCUAAUACCGGAUAACAUUUUGAACUGCAUGGUUCGAAAUUGAAAGGCGGCUUCGGCUGUCACUUAUGGAUGGACCCGCGUCGCAUUAGCUAGUUGGUGAGGUAACGGCUCACCAAGGCAACGAUGCGUAGCCGACCUGAGAGGGUGAUCGGCCACACUGGGACUGAGACACGGCCCAGACUCCUACGGGAGGCAGCAGUAGGGAAUCUUCCGCAAUGGACGAAAGUCUGACGGAGCAACGCCGCGUGAGUGAUGAAGGCUUUCGGGUCGUAAAACUCUGUUGUUAGGGAAGAACAAGUGCUAGUUGAAUAAGCUGGCACCUUGACGGUACCUAACCAGAAAGCCACGGCUAACUACGUGCCAGCAGCCGCGGUAAUACGUAGGUGGCAAGCGUUAUCCGGAAUUAUUGGGCGUAAAGCGCGCGCAGGUGGUUUCUUAAGUCUGAUGUGAAAGCCCACGGCUCAACCGUGGAGGGUCAUUGGAAACUGGGAGACUUGAGUGCAGAAGAGGAAAGUGGAAUUCCAUGUGUAGCGGUGAAAUGCGUAGAGAUAUGGAGGAACACCAGUGGCGAAGGCGACUUUCUGGUCUGUAACUGACACUGA
rnacentral:rRNA from 1 species